CGGAUCUCUUAAAGCUGUUCUCAGUUCGGACUGCAGUCUGCAACUCGACUGCACGAAGCUGGAAUCGCUAGUAAUCGCGGAUCAGCACGCCGCGGUGAAUACGUUCCCGGGCCUUGUACACACCGCCCGUCGCACCAUGGAAGUCUGCAAUGCCCGAAGCCGGUGGCCUAACCACUUAUGUGGAAGGAGCCGUCUAAGGCAGGGCAGAUGACUGGGGUGAAGUCGUAACAAGGUAAC
rnacentral:rRNA from 1 species